rnacentral:rRNA from 1 species
GACGAACGCUGGCGGCGUGCUUAACACAUGCAAGUCGAACGGAAAGGCCCUGCUUUUGUGGGGUGCUCGAGUGGCGAACGGGUGUGUAACACGUGAGUAACCUGCCCUUGACUUUGGGAUAACUUCAGGAAACUGGUGCUAAUACCGGCUAGGAGCUCCUGCUGCAUGGUGGGGGUUGGAACGUUUCGGCGGUUGGGGAUGGACUCGCGGCUUAUCAGCUUGUUGGUGGGGUAGUGGCUUACCAAGGCUUUGACGGGUAGCCGGCCUGAGAGGGUGACCGGCCACAUUGGGACUGAGAUACGGCCCAGACUCAUACGGGAGGCAGCAGUGGGGAAUAUUGCACAAUGGGCGGAAGCCUGAUGCAGCAACGCCGCGUGCGGGAUGACGGCCUUCGGGUUGUAAACCGCUUUCGCCUGUGACGAAGCGUGAGUGACGGUAAUGGGUAAAGAAGCACCGGCUAACUACGUG